CUGGGGAUACACUCAGUGGGUAGAGUGUUUGCCUUGCUUGCACAAGGCCCUGGGUUCAAUCCCCAGCACCACA
rnacentral:tRNA from 1 species